rnacentral:lncRNA from 1 species
CUGAGAGUAUUGUAUUGUGAAAAGGCUUUACCACAUUCAUUACAUUUGUAAGGUUUCUCUCCAGUAUGAACUCUUUUAUGUCUUUUAAGUUCAUUCUGACUUACAAAGGCUUUACCACAUUGAUCACAUUUAUAAGGUUUCUCUCCAGUAUGUAUUCUUUUAUGUACUCGGAAAUGACAAUGAUGUGCAAAGGCUUUACCACACUGAUGACAUUCAUAGGGUUUCUCUCCAGUAUGUGUUCUUUUAUGUAUUUGAAGAGUACUGGGUUGUGCAACGGCUUUACCACAUUGAUUGCAUUUGUAGGGUUUCUUUCCAGUAUGUAUUCUUUUAUGCAUUUGGAGACUACUGUGAUGUACAAAGGCUUCACCAUACUGAAUACCAUCAUAGGGUUUCUCUCCAGUAUGAAUUCUUUCAUACCUUUGGGGAUGACUGUGACA